GUUUACUAAGUGGUAGGAGAGCGUUCUAUUUGCGUCGAAGGUAUACCGGUAAGGAGUGCUGGAGCGAAUAGAAGUGAGCAUGCAGGCAUGAGUAGCGAUAAUUAAUGUGAGAAUCAUUAACGCCGUAAACCCAAGGUUUCCUACGCGAUGCUCGUCAUCGUAGGGUUAGUCGGGUCCUAAGUCGAGUCCGAAAGGGGUAGACGAUGGCAAAUUGGUUAAUAUUCCAAUACCAACAUUAGUGUGCGAUGGAAGGACGCUUAGGGCUAAGGGGGCUAGCGGAUGGAAGUGCUAGUCUAAGGUCGUAGGAGGUUAUACAGGCAAAUCCGUAUAACAAUACUCCGAGAACUGAAAGGCUUUUUGAAGUCUUCGGAUGGAUAGAAGAACCCCUGAUGCCGUCGAGCCAAGAAAAGUUUCUAAGUUUAGCUAAUGUUGCCCGUACCGUAAACCGACACAGGUGGGUGGGAUGAGUAUUCUAAGGCGCGUGGAAGAACUCUCUUUAAGGAACUCUGCAAAAUAGCACCGUAUCUUCGGUAUAAGGUGUGGUUCGCUUCGUAUUAGGAUUUACUCCGAAAGCGAAGAAACUUACAACAAAGAGUCCCUCCCGACUGUUUACCAAAAACACAGCACUCUGCUAACUCGUAAGAGGAUGUAUAGGGUGUGACGCCUGCCCGGUGCUCGAAGGUUAAUUGAUGGGGUUAGCAUUAGCGAAGCUCUUGAUCGAAGCCCGAGUAAACGGCGGCCGUAACUAUAACGGUCCUAAGGUAGCGAAAUUCCUUGUCGGUUAAAUACCGACCUGCAUGAAUGGCGUAACGAGAUGGGAGCUGUCUCAAAGAGGGAUCCAGUGAAAUUGUAGUGGAGGUGAAAAUUCCUCCUACCCGCGGCAAGACGGAGAGACCCCGUGGACCUUUACUACAGCUUGACACUGCUAUUUGGAUAAGAAUGUGCAGGAUAGGUGGGAGGCUUUGAGUAUAUGACGCCAGUUGUAUAUGAGCCAUUGUUGAGAUACCACUCUUUCUUAUUUGGGUAGCUAACCAGCUUGAGUUAUCCUCAAGUGGGACAAUGUCUGGUGGGUAGUUUGACUGGGGCGGUCGCCUCCCAAAUAAUAACGGAGGCUUACAAAGGUUGGCUCAGAACGGUUGGAAAUCGUUCGUAGAGUAUAAAGGUAUAAGCCAGCUUAACUGCAAGACAUACAAGUCAAGCAGAGACGAAAGUCGGUCUUAGUGAUCCGGUGGUUCUGUGUGGAAGGGCCAUCGCUCAAAGGAUAAAAGGUACCCCGGGGAUAACAGGCUGAUCUCCCCCAAGAGCUCACAUCGACGGGGAGGUUUGGCACCUCGAUGUCGGCUCAUCGCAUCCUGGGGCUGGAGCAGGUCCCAAGGGUAUGGCUGUUCGCCAUUUAAAGCGGUACGCGAGCUGGGUUCAGAACGUCGUGAGACAGUUCGGUCCCUAUCUGCCGUGGGCGUAAGAAGAUUGAAGAGAUUUGACCCUAGUACGAGAGGACCGGGUUGAACAAACCACUGGUGUAGCUGUUGUUCUGCCAAGAGCAUCGCAGCGUAGCUAAGUUUGGAAAGGAUAAACGCUGAAAGCAUCUAAGCGUGAAGCCAACUCUAAGAUGAAUCUUCUCUAAGCUCUCUAGAAGACUACUAGUUUGAUAGGCUGGGUGUGUAAUGGAUGAAAGUCCUUUAGCUGACCAGUACUAAUAGAGCGUUUGGCUUAUCUUUAAUAAAGCAU
rnacentral:rRNA from 1 species